rnacentral:rRNA from 1 species
GCGCGCAAAUUACCCAAUCCCGACACGGGGAGGUAGUGACAAUAAAUACUGAUACAGGGCUCUUUUGGGUCUUGUAAUUGGAAUGAGUACAAUUUAAAUCCCUUAACGAGGAACAAUUGGAGGGCAAGUCUGGUGCCAGCAGCCGCGGUAAUUCCAGCUCCAAUAGCGUAUAUUAAAGUUGUUGUGGUUAAAAAGCUCGUAGUUGAACCUUGGGCCUGGCUGGCCGGUCCGCCUCACCGCGUGUACUGGUCCGGCCGGGCCUUUCCCUCUGUGGAACCCCAUGCCCUUCACUGGGUGUGGCGGGGAAACAGGACUUUUACUUUGAAAAAAUUAGAGUGCUCCAGGCAGGCCUAUGCUCGAAUACAUUAGCAUGGAAUAAUAGAAUAGGACGUGUGGUUCUAUUUUGUUGGUUUCUAGGACCGCCGUAAUGAUUAAUAGGGACAGUCGGGGGCAUCAGUAUUCAAUUGUCAGAGGUGAAAUUCUUGGAUUUAUUGAAGACUAACUACUGCGAAAGCAUUUGCCAAGGAUGUUUUCAUUAAUCAGGAACGAAAGUUAGGGGAUCGAAGACGAUCAGAUACCGUCGUAGUCUUAACCAUAAACUAUGCCGACUAGGGAUCGGACGAUGUUAUUUUUUGACUCGUUCGGCACCUUACGAGAAAUCAAAGUGCUUGGGCUCCAGGG